UGGGGAAUUUUGGACAAUGGGCGAAAGCCUGAUCCAGCAAUGCCGCGUGUGUGAAGAAGGCCUUCGGGUUGUAAAGCACUUUUGUCCGGAAAGAAAUCCUUGGCUCUAAUACAGUCGGGGGAUGACGGUACCGGAAGAAUAAGCACCGGCUAACUACGUGCCAGCAGCCGCGGUAAUACGUAGGGUGCAAGCGUUAAUCGGAAUUACUGGGCGUAAAGCGUGCGCAGGCGGUUUGCUAAGACUGAUGUGAAAUCCCCGGGCUCAACCUGGGAACUGCAUUGGUGACUGGCAGGCUAGAGUAUGGCAGAGGGGGGUAGAAUUCCACGUGUAGCAGUGAAAUGCGUAGAGAUGUGGAGGAAUACCGAUGGCGAAGGCAGCCCCCUGGGCCAAUACUGACGCUCAUGCACGAAAGCGUGGGGAGCAAACAGGAUUAGAUACCCUGGUAGUCCACGCCCUAAACGAUGUCAACUAGUUGUUGGGGAUUCAUUUCCUUAGUAACGUAGCUAACGCGUGAAGUUGACCGCCUGGGGAGUACGGUCGCAAGAUUAAAACUCAAAUGAAUUGACGGGGUCAUAGCUGUUUCCU
rnacentral:rRNA from 1 species